AACUAUACCAAAGCGACUGUUUCGGUCCCAGACUUCUUCAUGCGGGUCAAUUUGGUCCUUUGUCCUAUGUGUCAUGUCAUGUUGGCGCGCCACACCAGGAUCUAGUCAUUUCAGGUUUUUAAUUCAGUUAUGUACACAAGUAAAAUCCCGUUUCUACCCUCUACAUGCUGCAAAUAUCCUUCGUUCAUGUCUAUCUUGUGUCUUGCUUAUAUAAUCGAACUAUUAAAUGAUCCACUAAUGUUGUUAUGAACAUAUUUACAAUUAGAUGACUAAACGUUCCAUUCCAUACCUUCCGUGUAAUUUUUCAGUAGCCUACCCCCAUCCUCAAGUUGACAUAUACAUCGUUCAGGGACGAAUUGAGAAAGUUUAAGAGCAAAAAUAGCUAUUACACCUUAGUAUUAUAUGGGUAGCAUGAAAAUAAAGAAAUAGAAAAAAGAAAAGGGAAAACACACAUCCCACUUGCAAUUCACGCAUGAAUAUAAGCGAUCGAACAGAUAAAAUCUGCGUAGGUAUAAAAGAACUUACCUAUGUAACCAUCUCUGUUGUAUUAAGAAGGAAAAUGAUAUUACACACAUCUAUAAUGAAAACAAUUGAAAACCUUUCUCACCCAAAUUAGACCCACCGUACCCCUCAUGAAAACAAUUGAAAACCUUUCUCACCCAAAUUAGACCCACCGUACCCCUCAUGUUGGACCCACCUGUCAGGGUCAAGUGGCGCGGGAGGGGGUGUAGAUCCAUAGAAAUUGCGAGUUAGGGACUGUUUCUCAUAGGUGGGUCCAACGUGAGGGGUAUGAUGAGCCUAAAUUGGGUGAGAAAGAUUUUCAAUUAUUUUCUUUUUUAAAGUAUAUGUAUGAGUUUCGAUCCGUUCCCUAUCUACGUUGAGUUGAUAAUAUUUCACAUCUAUUAUCUUAAUACAAUAGUGUUAAAAGAAGUCACCACGUUCGCCGAGAGGGUCUAGAAAUUCCCACGUUAAUCUAAAAAAAGAAGAAUAUACACCAUUGGAUUUUAUGAUGAUCUAAUGGUCUACACUAG
rnacentral:lncRNA from 1 species